AUGAACGCUGGCGGCGUGCCUCAUACAUGCCAGUCGAGCGCACGGACGAGAAGCUUGCUUUUCUGAUGUUAGCGGCGGACGGGUGAGUAACACGUGGAUAACCUACCUAUAAGACUGGGAUAACUUCGGGAAACCGGAGCUAAUACCGGAUAAUAUUUUGAACCGCAUGGUUCAAAAGUGAAAGACGGUCUUGCUGUCACUUAUAGAUGGAUCCGCGCUGCAUUAGCUAGUUGGUAAGGUAACGGCUUACCAAGGCAACGAUGCAUAGCCGACCUGAGAGGGUGAUCGGCCACACUGGAACUGAGACACGGUCCAGACUCCUACGGGAGGCAGCAGUAAGGAAUCUUCCGCAAUGGGCGAAAGCCUGACGGAGCAACGCCGCGUGAGUGAUGAAGGUCUUCGGAUCGUAAAACUCUGUUAUUAGGGAAGAACAUAUGUGUAAGUAACUGUGCACAUCUUGACGGUACCUAAUCAGAAAGCCACGGCUAACUACGUG
rnacentral:rRNA from 1 species